GGCUGCCUACCAUGCAGUCGACGAAGCCUUCGGGUUUAGUGGCGCACGGGUGCGUAACGCGUGGGAAUCUGCCCCUUGGUUCGGAAUAACAGUUGGAAACGACUGCUAAUACCGGAUGAUGACGUAAGUCCAAAGAUUUAUCGCCGAGGGAUGAGCCCGCGUAGGAUUAGGUAGUUGGUGUGGUAAAGGCGCACCAAGCCGACGAUCCUUAGCUGGUCUGAGAGGAUGAUCAGCCACACUGGGACUGAGACACGGCCCAGACUCCUACGGGAGGCAGCAGUGGGGAAUAUUGGACAAUGGGCGAAAGCCUGAUCCAGCAAUGCCGCGUGAGUGAUGAAGGCCUUAGGGUUGUAAAGCUCUUUUACCCGGGAUGAUAAUGACAGUACCGGGAGAAUAAGCUCCGGCUAACUCCGUGCCAGCAGCCGCGGUAAUACGGAGGGAGCUAGCGUUAUUCGGAAUUACUGGGCGUAAAGCGCACGUAGGCGGCUUUGUAAGUAAGAGGUGA
rnacentral:rRNA from 1 species